rfam:Myotis brandtii contig293732, whole genome shotgun sequence.
GGCCCAGUGGCUCAGUUGGUUGGAGCGUUGUCCCAUACACCAAAAAGGUUGUGGGUUCGAUUCCCUUCAGAGCUC